GUUGGGUAGGGGAGCGUUCUGUAAGCCUGUGAAGGUGUGUCGUGAGGCAUGCUGGAGGUAUCAGAAGUGCGAAUGCUGACAUAAGUAACGAUAAAGCGGGUGAAAAGCCCGCUCGCCGGAAGACCAAGGGUUCCUGUCCAACGUUAAUCGGGGCAGGGUGAGUCGACCCCUAAGGCGAGGCCGAAAGGCGUAGUCGAUGGGAAACGGGUUAAUAUUCCCGUACUUGGUGUUACUGCGAAGGGGGGACGGAGAAGGCUAUGUUGGCCGGGCGACGGUUGUCCCGGUUUAAGCGUGUAGGUGUGUGUUCCAGGUAAAUCCGGUUCACUUUAACACUGAGGCGUGACGACGAGGCACUACGGUGCUGAAGCAACAAAUGCCCUGCUUCCAGGAAAAGCCUCUAAGCAUCAGGUAACACGAAAUCGUACCCCAAACCGACACAGGUGGUCAGGUAGAGAAUACCAAGGCGCUUGAGAGAACUCGGGUGAAGGAACUAGGCAAAAUGGUGCCGUAACUUCGGGAGAAGGCACGCUGACACGUAGGUGAAGUGAUUUACUCACGGAGCUGAAGUCAGUCGAAGAUACCAGCUGGCUGCAACUGUUUAUUAAAAACACAGCACUGUGCAAACACGAAAGUGGACGUAUACGGUGUGACGCCUGCCCGGUGCCGGAAGGUUAAUUGAUGGGGUCAGCGUAAGCGAAGCUCCUGAUCGAAGCCCCGGUAAACGGCGGCCGUAACUAUAACGGUCCUAAGGUAGCGAAAUUCCUUGUCGGGUAAGUUCCGACCUGCACGAAUGGCGUAAUGAUGGCCAGGCUGUCUCCACCCGAGACUCAGUGAAAUUGAACUCGCUGUGAAGAUGCAGUGUACCCGCGGCAAGACGGAAAGACCCCGUGAACCUUUACUAUAGCUUGACACUGAACAUUGAGCCUUGAUGUGUAGGAUAGGUGGGAGGCUUUGAAGUGUGGACGCCAGUCUGCAUGGAGCCGACCUUGAAAUACCACCCUUUAAUGUUUGAUGUUCUAACGUGGACCCGUAAUCCGGGUUGCGGACAGUGUCUGGUGGGUAGUUUGACUGGGGCGGUCUCCUCCUAAAGAGUAACGGAGGAGCACGAAGGUUGGCUAAUCCUGGUCGGACAUCAGGAGGUUAGUGCAAUGGCAUAAGCCAGCUUGACUGCGAGCGUGACGGCGCGAGCAGGUGCGAAAGCAGGUCAUAGUGAUCCGGUGGUUCUGAAUGGAAGGGCCAUCGCUCAACGGAUAAAAGGUACUCCGGGGAUAACAGGCUGAUACCGCCCAAGAGUUCAUAUCGACGGCGGUGUUUGGCACCUCGAUGUCGGCUCAUCACAUCCUGGGGCUGAAGUAGGUCCCAAGGGUAUGGCUGUUCGCCAUUUAAAGUGGUACGCGAGCUGGGUUUAGAACGUCGUGAGACAGUUCGGUCCCUAUCUGCCGUGGGCGCUGGAGAACUGAGGGGGGCUGCUCCUAGUACGAGAGGACCGGAGUGGACGCAUCACUGGUGUUCGGGUUGUCAUGCCAAUGGCACUGCCCGGUAGCUAAAUGCGGAAGAGAUAAGUGCUGAAAGCAUCUAAGCACGAAACUUGCCCCGAGAUGAGUUCUCCCUGAGACUUAGAGUCUCCUGAAGGAACGUUGAAGACGACGACGUUGAUAGGCCGGGUGUGUAAGCGCAGCGAUGCGUUGAGCUAACCGGUACUAAUGAACCGUGAGGCUUAACCUU
rnacentral:rRNA from 1 species